rnacentral:rRNA from 1 species
GAAUCCCGUCUUUGACACGGACUGCCAGGGCUUUGUGAUGUGCUCUCGAAGAGUCGAGUUGUUUGGGAAUGCAGCUCAAAAUGGGUGGUAAAUUCCAUCUAAAGCUAAAUAUUGGCGAGAGACCGAUAGCGAACAAGUACCGUGAGGGAAAGAUGAAAAGAACUUUGGAAAGAGAGUUAAACAGUACGUGAAAUUGCUGAAAGGGAAACGCUUGAAGUCAGUCGCGUUGGCCAGGGAUCAACCUUGCUUUUUUGCUUGGCUUACUUUCUGGUUGAUGGGUCAGCAUCAAUUUUGACUGGUGGAAAAAGUUCAAGGGAAUGUGGCAGCUUCGGCUGUGUUAUAGCCCCUGGUCGCAUACAGUGGUUGGGAUUGAGGAACUCAGCACGCCGCAAGGCCGGGUUUCGACCACGUUCGUGCUUAGGAUGCUGGCAUAAUGGCUUUAAGCGACCCGUCUUGAAACACGGACCAAGGAGUCUAACAUGCCUGCGAGUAUUUGGGUGGAAAACCCAAGUGCGUAAUGAAAGUGAAAGUUGAGAUCCCUGUCGUGGGGAGCAUCGACGCCCGGACCAGAACUUUUGGGACGGAUCCGCGGUGGAGCAUGUAUGUUGGGACCCGAAAGAUGGUGAACUAUGCCUGAAUAGGGUGAAGCCAGAGGAAACUCUGGUGGAGGCUCGUAGCGAUUCUGACGUGCAAAUCGAUCGUCAAAUUUGGGUAUAGGGGCGAAAGACUAAUCGAACCAUCUAGUAGCUGGUUCCUGCC